rnacentral:rRNA from 1 species
UGGGGAAUUUUGGACAAUGGGCGCAAGCCUGAUCCAGCAAUGCCGCGUGCAGGAUGAAGGCCUUCGGGUUGUAAACUGCUUUUGUACGGAACGAAAAGACUCUGGUUAAUACCUGGGGUCCAUGACGGUACCGUAAGAAUAAGCACCGGCUAACUACGUGCCAGCAGCCGCGGUAAUACGUAGGGUGCGAGCGUUAAUCGGAAUUACUGGGCGUAAAGCGUGCGCAGGCGGUUAUGUAAGACUGGUGUGAAAUCCCCGGGCUUAACCUGGGAAUUGCAUUUGUGACUGCAUCGCUGGAGUGCGGCAGAGGGGGAUGGAAUUCCGCGUGUAGCAGUGAAAUGCGUAGAUAUGCGGAGGAACACCGAUGGCGAAGGCAAUCCCCUGGGCCUGCACUGACGCUCAUGCACGAAAGCGUGGGGAGCAAACA